GCCAGGGGAGCACCGCGCAGUGGACUUGCAGCCUGCCGCUGCCGGUGCUGUCGCUGCCUCGCCCAUCACGUCUGCCAAGGCGCAGAUGUGGGCCCCGCGGGAGCAGCUCCUGGGCUCGGCCGCAGACGCUCUGCCUCCUAAGAACACUGCCUGUCUCGGUGAGGAGGAGAAGCCUUGAGACCUGAAGACUAUACAAAAAAAGAACAAAUUCUCUGACUCUUGGAAAUGGGCUUAUGUAUUUGGAUGAAGAACCUCAUGGAGAAUUCACCCUCUGUUCUGAUGCUGCAUUACCUGCCACCCUCCCCACUGAUGAGCCCCAGUCUUCUUUUCUACACCAGAAGUGUAAUUUAUUGAUUCCUGGGUACAGGACUGUGUAAAAUUCUGUGAGCUAGCCAAACAGAGUUCAGAACCAAAGCCAGAAGUCUAUCCCUGGCCCUCCUGCCCUCUGGCCUUUGGCAAUCAGCAGUCUCUCAGCCAACACAAGCUACGCAAUCAUCCUAUUCCAGAUUUAUCUACAGGAAAUCAACUCCAACCAGGGGAUCCAUACCCAGAUGACCAGUAGCAGCAGCAACAACAUUCUGAUAAAAACCACCGGGGGCCAAAGCAGAAAAUCAAGGACUAGGAGGCUCUAAACCCUUGUUCUGGAGGACAAAUGAGAGGGAGACUUCAGUGGUUUUCUCUAGCCCACCCCGGGGGCCAUCAGUAAGCUUCCGGGAGGCAAAAGAGUGUGGAAGGUACAAUUCAGUCCAGUCCAGACAGCAAGCUCUGGGGAAGUAGACAAAGUUCCUGGGAGGGUAGAAAUAUCAGGAUUUGGAGGAUCCCUUAGCCUGGGAUCACCUUUCAGCUAGGCUGCAAGCCGGCUGUCCCAUUGUUAUAACAUUCUUCCCUUUUCUCCAGGAAGAGUAUGAGCAACAAGCAAGGCCACAUCUGGGGACUUGUUCCAAUCCUACCUCUAACUACUCAGGCUAUAAACUUUUAUCAGCAAGUAGCACAGUAGGGCCCCACAGGGAGAGAACCUUUGCUGUUAGAUCCCGGUGAGUCUUACCAUAUCCCUGAACGCCAUGUCUCAUCAUAUCAUAUAAGCAUAGAUCCCAGUAAGCCUUAUCAUAUCCAGAAAUCCAUGUCUUUAUCACAGCAUCACAUCCUGAUUGCCAAAACCGGGCCUGAAGGGAUGCUUAAGACCCAUGGUGGAUUGUCUGUCCUCAAGUAAAGAAGAAAGACAAUUAUAUGAUGCUGGUAACAAUAGCAUGCCAGUCUUAUAGAUGAGGAAAUUAAAGCAGAAAUGCAGAUGAUUUGCCCAUGCUCACAUAACUAAUAAGUGGUGGUGCUUGCAUUCAGCCUGGUAUUCAGCUGGGAUUCAGGAGUUUGGGUCUUGGGGUUAUUCUGUUCAAUUCCUUGCCCUUAAGAAGACUAGUCCUUCAAAUUUCCUUUGGUCUCCUAAAAUCUGACUAAUUCUGGUAUAGCCAAGAUUUAGGUGUUUGCUACAUUAGACCCAUCCACAGACACGUCUUAUAUGAGGAUCCCAAUAUAGCAUAUUGAAGGUUUCCAAGGUGGAAACCUCUGUAAUAAGGCACUGCAGAAGUAGUGCCUGGCAAAAAUUUGUGCUUCCUCUGCCUAGAAAUGCCCUUCUGGCUUAGAAUGCCUUGUUACUGGGAGUGGGAGGGAAGAUGGGGAAGAGAAGAGGAAGUGGAAGGGGAGUUCUUCUGCCAAAGAGCACCACAGGAAGCAUCUACUAAACUAAUGCCAUAACUUUUAUACCACAUCUCUCAUCCUCUUGGCCACAUUCUUACCCUGACUGCUCUGCACCCAGUUGAAAUCAGAGAGCUCCUUGCUCCAUAUCUCAUGUGCUCCUCCUAGGAGUUUCUCUGUUGAUGUAGUGCAGGAAGCCUUUCUGGCAAUAUGCAAAUUUGGACCUGCAAAGGAGUUCAGUCUCCCUGGCGAAAUGCUUGACAACAGAUGAUGGAAACCAGUGGGCAAACACCCAGCCUCCUGUACUGUGUUGGGAGGCAGAAGACCUGCAGCUAGAUGAAAGCCAGUUGUCUACAGUGGUGAACAGCUCAAUACCCCAUUCUGCGGUUGGCUUUCUCUUCCCUGCUUAUUCUCCCAGUCCCUUCACUCCUAUUUUCUGAGAUCAUUUCCCAAAAUAAACUACCUGCAUACAA